CCCUCGAUUCCUUUUUCUAAUGGGUGGAAAGGGUGGGCCACAGAAAGUUGCUGUGGUUUUCACUUGGGUUUCACAGAGGGGUGGUGUAGACGGGCACAGAGGACCCACUGUUCCUGUCCAACUGGCCAGUGGCUGCCCUCACAGAGUACAUGGGGGGGCCAAGAGUGGAAAAACCCCUGUGUCGUGCUUGUGUUUCACCGAUAUGCUCCGGUUAAUUAAAGUGACAGAGACGAUUUAUCAAGAUCCGUAAAAUCCACCCUCUCUCUCCAAGUCCAUGACAUGGCCGCAAGUGACGACACCAAGGCCAGCUUUUUGGCAUUGGAUCCGCUGCCUUUUGGUGUCACUCCCAAGUCAACAUCCUCUCAGAUGUCUUUUGGAAGUUUGCUUGCUUGAAUGUUGGCGGUGUUUGGAAACUGGGUAAUAAAAUGCAAAGUGCAGCGGCUGUUCUAACAAAGGAAAAAAAUGUGAUUGAGGGGGGCUGGGGGACUUCAUCUGGGCUCCGUCCCUGGCAGUUCAUACAAGUUUAUGAUUGCUGUGGGCUUAGAUGAUGUGUGGAAAGAAGCUGACAGGCCUGGCUGGUGCACAUUUGAACUUUAUCCUCUUAAAUCCUGCCUUUCUGAAAUGGGGCGAGUGAAACAGAAACCCCCUCCAGGAGGACUGAGUGCAGUUGGUUUGGGGCUGUGUGGGGGCCAGCGGGUCGUGUCCCUGAGGGCAGGAGCGCCCACACCAGCCGGUUCCGAUCCCAGCACGGCUCCCUGCCUUGCUCCCCUUCCUGAAGGGGCACGUCCAGGGUGCACCGGGGUCAGCUGUCCCCUCCACAAGCUGGCCUGCUUGUGGGGCUACCGCCAACCUAACGGCUCUCCGGGGACAGGCUCGCUGAUGCAAGAUUUGCCUCCUCUGUCCUUAUUCUUCCAAGAAUAAUAAACAAGUCUGUACCCAGACUCCGAGCUGAUGUGUAUCUCCUGGGCCGAAGAAACAUGGAAAGAACAAACAACAUCUUCCCACUCACUUGAGACAUUCUGCUGUUUGGAGCCUUAAGACACAAGAUGUAGGACCGUGAGCCUCCCAGGAAGUAGGGUUGGAACUUGGAAUCUGCAUGAGGACCUGGUCUCUGCAUCCGUGUUUCAGUAGAGUAUUAACAGAAAACUGGAGAUGAGGUGAGGCCAGCAGCUCAGGAGUUGACCUCCACUGGAGAGGAGGGCACAUGCCAGCCACGCAGGGCCACGUGGAGAAGCACCAGGGCCGGUCAGGCCACAGAGGGAGUGAGCAGAUGCAUGACCAGAACCAUACUGUGGUUUCCACAGGAAGGAACCCAGCAGAGAAGAAUUCGCUUCCUGGAGACAGUAUGUGGUUACGGAGCAAACGAGAGGCACUCGGGGUGGAAGAAGUUGACCCCAAGCGUCUGUAUCUGGAGCCUUCCGUGCAGUCACACCCUUGAGUCCUCGCUUAUGGUCUCCCCGCUACACUCAGAAGACCAAGGUCAGAGAGCAUCUGCCCCAGACUCCCCCUGACCCCUCGUGACCUGAAGCAGAAAUACAGACACUGGGGGCGGACAGGUGGGGGGCGCAGGGCCCCCGGCCCACAGACGGGCAUUUUCUCCCUCCACGGCCUGUGCCCUGCGGCCUUGUGCCUGCCUGGCUCCCCGGAGACUGGCCUUGGGCAGUGCUCAGCAGUCCCAGGAGGUGACCGCUGCCCUGGAACCUCCUUGUGCCCACGGCAGGUCUGCGUGCACGAGGCCAGGAGGGGUCAGCCCGCUAUGUGACGUGGAGGCUCAGAGGGCCAGAGACUUUGAUCACGUGAGAUCACAGCUCCGGCUUCUUAACACCAAGUCACGAACAACUGUUGUGAUGACCUCCUUGCAGCCACGGGAGCAGAGGACUCUGGUCAAAAGAGCUGCACCCAAGGUCAGGACCAGCAAGCCCAUCGCGUCCUACAGCUACAGCACAAAGGGAACCUAUUGGCUUCGGAACUCAAGGACCCAAAGGGAGGGCUGGCUUCGGGCAAUAGCUGAGCAGGUGCUCAAAUGCAGGGAGCUGUGUGGGGAGGCUGGAGGGCACAUGUACUGUCUUCCUGCUGAGCCCCAAUGCUCUAAUCCCACCUUCCUACUUACUGGGUCAGGACUGUUUCUCAAGUUCAACAUUUGAUCCCCGGGAUCUGUGACAUAAGGAGUUCAUCCAAGAGAGCUCAGUGGCAUUGGGUGGACGCUGAGUGCAUGGGGCCACUGACCUCUGGAGCCUGGACCACAAAGCGGGUGUAUGCUCCUGCACCCUGCACGGCACACCCUUCCUCCCUGUGCACACAUGAAGUCACCUUCUGCCCUGCCCUCUGGUGAUGACUCUGGCUCCCCAAGAAAACAACCUGUGGUGUGCUGGGGCCACACUCUGCACAACAGAGCUGCCCGCAAGAAAAGGUGAGCUUGCUAGAGAAGGUUCCGGAAAUGAUCUGAUGAGGGGCCGUCUUUUCAAAGCAUAUUCUCUUGCCACUAAAUAAAUAAAUAAAUAAAUAAAUAAAUAAAUAAAUAAAUA